UACUAGAGUAGCACUCGCAUAUCAAUAAGCGGAGGAAAAGAAACUAACAAGGAUUCCCCUAGUAACGGCGAGUGAAGCGGGAAGAGCUCAAAUUUGGAAUCUUAAAUGGCUUCCCUUUACGAAUUGUAGUUUAAAGAAGUGUUUUCUGUUGAGGUUUUGGUAAAAGUUCUUUGGAAUAGGACAUCAUAGAGGGUGAGAAUCCCGUAUUUGACCUUUACUUUCAACUUUGUGAUACACUUUCAAAGAGUCGGAUUGUUUGGGAAUGCAGUCCAAAAUGGGUGGUAAAUUUCAUCUAAAGCUAAAUAUUGGCGAGAGACCGAUAGCGAACAAGUACCGUGAGGGAAAGAUGAAAAGAACUUUGAAAAGAGAGUUAAACAGUACGUGAAAUUGUCAAAGGGAAGCGUUUGACACCAGUGUUGUUUUUCUGAAAAUCAAUUAAAGAACUGUUUAUGCUAAGCUGUUUAGACUUUAUCAGCUAUCUGUUUAGUUUUGAGCUUUUCUUUAAUGCACUUUUCAGUUAACAAGUCAACAUCAAUUUCUUUUGCUGUAAAAAAGCUUGAGGAAGGUGGCUUGAGAUUCGUCUUAAGUGUUUAUAGCCUCUUGCCUAUGCAGUCGGAGAGAUUGAGGUCUGCAGCGUAGAUCCUUCGGGGCUAAAUGCAUUUGUGCUAAGUUAUAGCAUUUUAUAGACAACUUGUUGACUAUGAUUUGUCUUGUAGCUUACUCGCUUAUGUUAUUUUACCUACGCUUAGGAUGUUGAACUCUAUCACACACAG
rnacentral:rRNA from 1 species